UUGGCCGACAGGCCCGGGUAAUCUUGGGAAAUUUCAUCGUGAUGGGGAUAGAUCAUUGCAAUUGUUGGUCUUCAACGAGGAAUGCCUAGUAAGCGCGAGUCAUCAGCUCGCGUUGACUACGUCCCUGCCCUUUGUACACACCGCCCGUCGCUCCUACCGAUUGAAUGGUCCGGUGAAGUGUUCGGAUCGCGGCGACCGGGGCGGUUCGCCGCCCCCGACGUCGCGAGAAGUCCAUUGAACCUUAUCAUUUASAGGAAGGAGAAGUCGUAACARGGUUUCCGUAGGUGAACCUGCGGAAGGAUCAUU
rnacentral:rRNA from 1 species